UACCGGCAAAUCUCCAACUGUGCAAAAACAAACAACAGUCAUCAUAUCAGUUCUUUUGUUACAUUUGUGUGAAACAUUUAUCGAGCGGUUUCUAUGUGACAUUUUGUUUCGGAUCAUUUAUCAUUACAGAAAAAAAGGAAGAGAAAAAACGGGAAUGCUGAAAACAUUCAAGUUUUAAACAUAAAUCUGUUAAUUAAACCUUUGAUAAAGUCAUGACGAGCAAUCUUGAAAACACAAGUGAAAAUGAAACAAGAGAUAAUUCUGAGGAUUUGAGGAAUGAAGGACAGAGCGAGGAAAGAAUUGAAGUAAAAAUGGCGUCAGCAAAUCUCGAACAGACAAAUAAACAGCGACAAACGGUCUGCGACGAAGAUCCCUAUAUCGUGAAACUAUUUAAAAGUCUAAUGGCGGAAAGAGGAAAAGAUACGAUAAAAAAGAAAACGUAAAAAAAUGACUUAAGCAUACAAACUGGAGAAGAAAACAUAAAAAACUGAUCUGGAUAUUUUUGUAUUCAUCUUAAAAAAUAUUCAAAAAAAAAGGUAUUAUUU